AGAAACAGAGCCCACGACUCCCUCGUCUCUCCCGAAUCGCUGCCACCAUUGCCUCGUCUCCCUUGCGCCGACCCUCCCCACCUCCCACCUCAAAGCUCUGGAGGCUGCCAGAUCCGCUAAAUCCCCACCCGACCGUCCCUCUCGCUCUCACGUCCCAUCCCGAUCUCUUCACGCGGCUCCUCGCCGCGCUACCUGCGGCGGCUCCAUCAGGUAAUGUCCGGCGAAUCCCACCACCGUGAAGCACAACCCGAGGUCCCUUCGCUCUGUGGAGCCCUCCCAUCCAGCUAGAUACAGCACUUGAGGCCACCAUAACCCACCCGCGACCCAUCCCGCAUGGCUAGGUUCUGGGAGUCGGAUCUGUUGCCGGUGGCCAUGUCGUUGUCGUCCUCGUCUCAUCCGACGUGCGGGGAGGAACGUCCAGUGGACAACCUUGCUACGGCUCAGGAUGAAGCAGCCACGAGCUUCCUCCUCCGGCUUUAGGUGAGUUGGUCCACUCCUCCCUCUGCUCUGGUUCGUGGCAGAUCAGGAGAAAUUUUUGUUCUGGAGGUGUUAGGAUUUUCUACUGCUUGGGAUCAAGUGCCUGCUGGUUGAGGUCAAUUUGAUUUUGUUUUGCUGCUAAAGUGUCAAAACAGAGGACGACCACAUGCUGGAUUGAGUCCCGAUGUGUUGAGGCUGGGAAGGUCGGCAUGGCCUCCAACCAUGGCAAUACACCUACUAUGUUGCUGCCUUGCAAGCAGUAGUGGCUAGAAAUCAACCCCUGGCCGCAUAUUCUUUCUAGGGUAACAUCAUUCUAGGGAGGGAUUCUGUAGCCCAUCUACGCAGUAACCAGUGUGUUUGAGGCAAUUAGUACACAAAACACCUAGGUAUAGUUAAAAACCAGGUUAGGGUCUAAUUAAUACAGUAUAUAUCUCCAAGGCCCUGAUUAUUUUCUUUUCCAAUCUUUAGUAUUCUCCUGUUUCAGGUUUUGACCAUGGCCAACAUAUAUUCUUUUAGGCUAAUUACUAAAUCAAUCUAACGAUGGUUCAUGUGGCAGCGGAGGUGUAGCAACGGCAGUUUGAAGCAGAUUAGGCGCCCGCGGGCGUCUUUGGCAGCGAGGCUGUCGAGUGAAGGAAAUGGCAGUGUGGCGAUUUGUUUUCUAUUCACAAUAUUGACUAAUAUCCUCUGUAUAUUUACUAACUCCGGAUCCAAGACUUUUAAAUAUAAAUUAUAACAUAGCAGAAGAAAGUCUGGUGAAAGUGUGGCGGUUUGUUUUCUAUUCUCCAUCCUUAAAGCUCAUAACAGAAGAAAGAACCAUACAAUUGACUUUAUCACUAUUGCUUUAUUAAGAAAAAAACAUGUCUUUUACACAUGUAUUGAUGCUCCUCUUGACUCAAUUGUGUUGUAGGGAGUGAAAGCAUCCAGUUGGGGUGGUCUGCAGCUCUGGUCGCCUCCAGCAGCACUACAUAAUCAAAGUUCCAAACAAUAGUAUUGCACUGCUGCCUCCAGCCAACCACAACAUAAUCAUUGCUGCGCGCACCAACUUGUUGUAGGGGGACACCAUGGAAGGUGUACAAAAUUAGCAAUGGAUCUCUAGGCUGGUGAUGACCAUGUAAAUUCGUUUCAGUGGAUUUGGGGCUGUACAUUCAUUCCAAAGCAUGGCUAUGUCAUAUAUUGUGGCGUCUGGAUUAGUCAUCAAUGAUCAUGAACACUCAUGCUGUGUAAUACAACACUUACGAAAACUGAAGAUUUGGUACAGAGUCGCAAAAACUGCAAUAUUAUUGGUAAUGCAGAAAAAAAUAUUGCAUGGCCUUCAACCUUUAUUGAAAUGAUAUAUGGAUGAUUAUAUGGGUGCGUAACAAGUAUACUGCAACGAUGAUGAUGAUACUCUGGUUCAUGAUGAUGGAUGCUUUCAAUUUUAGUUAAGUUGUUGGAUGUUCCUAUUGGACGAUGUUCCGCAAUUAGUUUUAGUUAAGUUGUAGGGAUGUUGAUGGAUGAUUUUAGUUUAGAUUUUGUUGUCAAGAAAAUAUUAGAUUAUGCAUCACAUUUGGAUGGUGUUCCUCCUGUAAUAUCCAU